rnacentral:misc_RNA from 1 species
AAGUCGUAACAAGGUUUCCGUAGGUGAACCUGCGGAAGGAUCAUCAAUGAUUGACCCGGUUAAAUGGGUCUAGAUAUUCGAUGACUUUGACCUAACUUUAAACCGGUGAUGACGACGGUCAUGAAUGGUAGGUUUAUAUGAGUUAAGGUGACCGAGUGUGUGAAAACAUUCGGUCUGUGAUGGAUUAUGAUUUCGAUCAUGAUGAUAAACAACAUCACAUCUGGUGUUAGAGAGAGGAAGGAAAGAGAGCGGGAUGAUAUGGGGGGGGGGUUUUGACGAAGACUCACACACACCCGUUUCUUAAUUCUUUCUACACCGACUUGGAAGUUACUUGUAUGUGUCAUUAGACGGAACAGGAGUUUCACCGGAUCGUGGUUAUACACACGCCGGAUAAAUUAAGAAAACUUUCGGCAAUGGAUCUCUUGGCUAUCC